rnacentral:rRNA from 1 species
GGGACAACCCGCCGAAAGGCGGGCUAAACCCGCGUACAUGCCACCGGGGCAUCCCGGAGGCAGGAAAGGCUUCGGCCGGACAGGGAUGGGCAUGCGGCGCAUUAGGCAGUAGGCGGGGUAACGGCCCACCUAACCGACGAUGCGUAGGGGUUCUGAGAGGAAGGUCCCCCACACUGGUACUGAGACACGGACCAGACUCCUACGGGAGGCAGCAGUGAGGAAUAUUGGUCAAUGGUCGGGAGACUGAACCAGCCAAGCCGCGUGAGGGAGGAAGGUACAGAGUAUCGUAAACCUCUUUUGUCAGGGAACAAAGACUGGGACGCGUCCCCGGAUGAGUGUACCUGAAGAAAAAGCAUCGGCUAACUCCGUGCCAGCAGCCGCGGUAAUACGGAGGAUGCGAGCGUUAUCCGGAUUUAUUGGGUUUAAAGGGUGCGCAGGCGGUCUGUUAAGUCAGCGGUCAAAGCCCGGGGCUCAACCCCGGCCCGCCGUUGAAACUGGCAGUCUCGAGUUGGAGAGAAGUAUGCGGAAUGCGCGGUGUAGCGGUGAAAUGCAUAGAUAUCGCGCAGAACUCCGAUUGCGAAGGCAGCAUGCCGGCUCCACACUGACGCUGAGGCACGAAAGCGUGGGUAUCGAACAGGAUUAGAUACCCUGGUAGUCCACGCAGUAAAC